rnacentral:rRNA from 1 species
GACGUAGGAGGCGAGCGUUGUCCGGAAUUAUUGGGCGUAAAGAGCUUGUAGGCGGUUUGUCGCGUCUGCCGUGAAAGUCCGGGGCUCAACUCCGGAUCUGCGGUGGGUACGGGCAGACUAGAGUGAUGUAGGGGAGACUGGAAUUCCUGGUGUAGCGGUGAAAUGCGCAGAUAUCAGGAGGAACACCGAUGGCGAAGGCAGGUCUCUGGGCCACUACUGACGUGAGAAGCGAAAGCAUGGGGAGCGAACAGG